GUGGGGAAUAUUGCACAAUGGGGGAAACCCUGAUGCAGCGACGCCGCGUGAGUGAAGAAGUAUUUCGGUAUGUAAAGCUCUAUCAGCAGGGAAGAAAAUGACGGUACCUGACUAAGAAGCCCCGGCUAACUACGUGCCAGCAGCCGCGGUAAUACGUAGGGGGCAAGCGUUAUCCGGAUUUACUGGGUGUAAAGGGUGCGUAGGUGGCUUGGCAAGUCAGAUGUGAAAACCCGGGGCUUAACUCCGGGAUUGCAUUUGAAACUGUUAAGCUAGAGUGCAGGAGAGGUAAGUGGAAUUCCUAGUGUAGCGGUGAAAUGCGUAGAUAUUAGGAGGAACACCAGUGGCGAAGGCGGCUUACUGGACUGUAACUGACACUGAGGCACGAAAGCGUGGGGAGCAAACAGG
rnacentral:rRNA from 1 species